AUUGAUAUUCAAUAUCUGGAUUUGGGAAGUGGGAGAGGGAGAAUUAAGGUUAUCAGAGAGGGAGGCCAUGGCACACAUUAGCGCGAGGAUGGUGACGGAGAAAGUUAGCAAAGCAUUAGCUCUGUACCCAAAGGAAUGCAUGAUUGCUACUUCGAUGUCGUAUUGGCGAAUAAAAAACCAGUUGCUAGCUCGCCAAAGCUAGUGGUGAUUUAUCGGAAAAGUACUUGUGUAUCUUGCCGUGUCGUCGUUGUUCUCGUCAGUGUUGACGUUUCCGGUCCGAGAAGAGAGAACGGGGCGUUUUGUUUUGGGGUUUUGAGGAGCGCAUAUUGGCGAAUAAAAAACCAGUUGCUAGC
rnacentral:misc_RNA from 1 species